rnacentral:rRNA from 1 species
GACGAACGCUGGCGGCGUGCUUAACACAUGCAAGUCGAACGGAAAGGCCCUGCUUUUGUGGGGUGCUCGAGUGGCGAACGGGUGAGUAACACGUGAGUAACCUGCCCUUGACUUUGGUAUAACUUCAGGAAACUAGGGCUAAUACCGGAUAGGAGCUCCUGCUGCAUUGUGGGGGUUGGAAAGUUUCGGCGGUUGGGGAUGGACUCGCGGCUUAUCAGCUUGUUGGUGGGGUAGUGGCUUACCAAGGCUUUGACGGGUAGCCGGCCUGAGAGGGUGACCGGCCACAUUGGGACUGAGAUACGGCCCAGACUCCUACGGGAGGCAGCAGUGGGGAAUAUUGCACAAUGGGCGGAAGCCUGAUGCAGCAACGCCGCGUGCGGGAUGACGGCCUUCGGGUUGUAAACCGCUUUCGCCUGUGACGAAGCGUGAGUGACGGUAAUGGGUAAAGAAGCACCGGCUAACUACGUG